UACGUACUGUGCGAACGUUAUUCGGAAUCACUGGGCUUAAAGGGUGCGUAGGCGGCCAUUUAAGUAGGGUGUGAAAGGCUUCGGCUCAACCGGAGCAUUGCGCUCUAGACUGAUUGGCUCGAGUGAGAUAGGGGUGUGCGGAACUUCCAGUGGAGCGGUGAAAUGUGUUGAUAUUGGAAGGAACGCCGGUGGCGAAAGCGGCACACUGGGUCUUAACUGACGCUGAGGCACGAAAGCCAGGGGAGCGAACGGG
rnacentral:rRNA from 1 species